UCUCCGUUGGUGAACCAGCGGAGGGAUCAUUACCGAGUUAUUCAACUCAUCAACCCUGUGAACUUACCUAUACGUUGCUUCGGCGGGAAUAGACGGCCCCGUAAAACGGGCCGCCCCCGCCAGAGGACCCUUAACUCUGUUUCUAUAAUGUUUCUUCUGAGUAAAACAAGCAAAUAAAUUAAAACUUUCAACAACGGAUCUCUUGGCUCUUGCAUCGAUGAAGAACGCAGC
rnacentral:misc_RNA from 1 species